GAUCAUGGCUCAGGAUGAACGCUAGCUACAGGCUUAACACAUGCAAGUCGAGGGGCAGCAUGUUUGGUUGCUUGCAACCAAUGAUGGCGACCGGCGCACGGGUGAGUAACGCGUAUCCAACCUACCCGUUGUCCAUCGGAUAACCCGUCGAAAGGCGGCCUAACACGAUAUGCGGUUCACAGCAGGCAUCUAACGUGAACGAAAUGUGAAGGAGAAGGAUGGGGAUGCGU
rnacentral:rRNA from 1 species